rnacentral:rRNA from 1 species
ACCUGACUGCUAUCGGAUUGGUACUAAGCCAUGCGAGUCAUUGUAGCAAUACAAGGCGGACGGCUCAGUAACACGUAGUCAACCUAACUCGUGGACGUGGAUAACCUCGGGAAACUGAGAAUAAACCACGAUAGAUCAUAGUGCCUGGAAUGGCUUAUGGUCCAAACAGUUUACUGCCAUGGGAUGGGACUGCGGCCUAUCAGCUUGUUGGUGAGGUAAUGGCCCACCAAGGCGAUUACAGGUACGGGCUCUGAGAGGAGAAGCCCGGAGAUGGGUACUGAGACACGGACCCAGGCCCUAUGGGGCGCAGCAGGCGAGAAACCUUAGCAAUGUGCGAAAGCACGACUGGGUCAGUCCGAGUGAUUCCUGAUAAAGGAGUCUUUUGCCUGUCCUAAAAGCACAGGUGAAUAAGGGGUGGGCAAGUCUGGUGUCAGCCGCCGCGGUAAUACCAGCACCUCGAGUGGUCAGGACGUUUAUUGGGCCUAAAGCAUCCGUAGCCGGCUCUGCAAGUCUUCGGUUAAAUCCACCUGCUCAACAGAUGGGCCGCUGGAGAUACUACAGAGCUAGGGAGUGGGAGAGGCAGACGGUAUUCAGUGGGUAGGGGUAAAAUCCUCUGAUCCAUUGAGGACCACCAGUGGCGAAGGCGGUCUGCCAGAACACGUUCGACGGUGAGGGAUGAAAGCUGGGGGAGCAAACCGGAUUAGAUACCCGGGUAGUCCCAGCUGUAAACGAUGCAAACUCGGUGAUGCAUUGGCUUAUGGCCAAUGCGGUGCCGCAGGGAAGCCGUUAAGUUUGCCGCCUGGGAAGUACGGACGCAAGUCUGAAACUUAA